rnacentral:rRNA from 1 species
UGAACUUAAGCAUAUCAAUAAGCGGAGGAAAAGAAACCAACAGGGAUUGCCCCAGUAACGGCGAGUGAAGCGGCAACAGCUCAAAUUUGAAAUCUGGCCCCUAGGGUCCGAGUUGUAAUUUGUAGAGGAUGCUUUUGGUGAGGUGCCGCCCGAGUUCCCUGGAACGGGACGCCACAGAGGGUGAGAGCCCCGUCUGGCUGGCCGCCGAGCCUCUGUAAAGCUCCUUCGACGAGUCGAGUAGUUUGGGAAUGCUGCUCAAAAUGGGAGGUAUAUGUCUUCUAAAGCUAAAUAUUGGCCAGAGACCGAUAGCGCACAAGUAGAGUGAUCGAAAGAUGAAAAGCACCUUGAAAAGAGGGUUAAAUAGUACGUGAAAUUGUUGAAAGGGAAGCGCUUGUGACCAGACUUGGGCGCGGCGGAUCAUCCGGGGUUCUCUCCGGUGCACUUCGCCGCGUCUAGGCCAGCAUCAGUUCGUCGCGGGGGAAAAAGGCUUCGGGAACGUGGCUCCUCCGGGAGUGUUAUAGCCCGUUGCAUAAUACCCUGCGGUGGACUGAGGACCGCGCAUCUGCAAGGAUGCUGGCGUAAUGGUCACCAGCGACCCGUCUUGAA